CAGUCCUGAAUCUCAAUCCCUUAAUUUAUAAUUGGUUGCGCAGCUUUCUGACCGGCCGACAACAGUUCGUUUUUGCAAAUAACUUUUCAUCCCCUCUGUCUCCUGUACUUUCUGGGGUUCCUCAAGGUUCUGUUCUUGGCCCCCUCCUCUUUUUAAUCUACAUUAAUGACCUUCCUAAUGACAUAUCUUCUAACAUACGCCUAUUUGCGGACGACUGUGUUAUUUACCGACCCAUUAACAAUAGCUCAGAUAUCCCUGCCCUGCAGCGUGACUUACAAACGGUUGAAAAAUGGUGUAAGACAUGGUUAAUGUCAUUAAAUGUAAAUAAAACCUCAUUAAUCUCUUUCAAUCGUCGGCACUCUUAUGUAGCACCCUCAUAUCUCUUAGGUAAUUCAACAAUAUCAUCUGUGACCUGUUAUAAAUACUUGGGGCUUAUCUUAACUCAAGAUCUUUCAUGGUCCUCUCACAUCGCUAAAAUAACUAACGAGGCUAACCGCACCUUAGGCUUCCUCCGGCGACAUCCGAAAUUUGCCCCUCCUCCAGUAAAAACUCUUGCCUACAAAUCUGUGGUAAGGCCCAAACUUGAAUACGCAUGCUCAAUUUGGGACCCUCAUCGUACUAAUCUUUCUAACAUGCUUGAAUCUGUCCAAAACCGCGCAGCCCGAUUCAUCUUCCAUGACUAUUCUUCAUAUACAAGUGUAACAGCACUAAAAUCUAAUGCGAAUCUUCCGAGACUACAAGCGAGACGUCAAGUGUCCAGACUCAUUCUAUAUCACAAGUUUUAUCAUGCCCCGAUUGGUAACAGCGUCAUAUCGCCAGCUCACCGCCAUUCAUCCCGGACUAAUCAUUCAAAGUCAGUGUACCCCCCGCAUGCGCGCACAUCAUCCCAUCUUCAUUCGUUUUUUCCACGUACAGCGAGAGACUGGAAUGAUCUGCCUGAAGAAGCAGCGGACCACUCCAGUGUGACUGCAUUCAGGACUGCCAUCGAACGCAUUUUCCUUUGAAGCAGCCCACCCCUCAUGUAAAACCCCUCUCCAGGGGCAUUUGAGGAAUAAAUAAAUAAAUAAAAAAAAUAAAUAACCGUAGACGGUUCACUGGUAUGCUCAUUUUAAACAGACGCGAUACCUUUCUUCAGAUACACCAUAGUGAAUGGGCCUUUUUUUUCUCUUCACCAAUGACAGAAAGUAGUACAUUCGUAUGUGGGAUUUAUUUCCAUUUUACACGAAACGCAUAAUGUAUGGGAAUACCGUUGGUAUUUGCACUCAGUAACACGCACACCCUAAUGGCUCAGCCGAAUGUACCGUUCAUCUUAACCGCUGCAUAAUUUCGGCUAGUUAGUUGGCGAAAAUUUUAAAAGUGGUACGCUAUGUUAUGCACGACGGAAGACAGUACGAUCAAAUACGCUGAGCCGCACGGAAAGACAAAGGGCACCAAACGGCUACGUCUCUCUUCUAUCUCUCACGAAUGUCUAUUCUUUCUUUCCCUCUCUUUUUACAGCGAAGCUGUAUAUAGCUAUAGGUUCGCUUUUUUCUGCGUGCGUAGAAGAGUUGACCCCAUUCCAAAUCCCUCAAAAGAGCAGUGGGAGGCUAUUCUGCUCAGCGAUGAUCCUGACCGUCAGCACUGGCUGGUGGGGAGGGCCAGCGCAGCAGCAGUAACCAGUGGGCUACCGGACUAGGCGGCCCACCCACGAGUUCUACGAAUAUCCUGCAAAUAAAGAUGAUUUCAAUCAAUCAAUCAACCAA